CAAAAGUCCUUCUUGCAACUCUCUGUGGAUCAGUCUUUAAUCAUCUUAUUGGAACCUUAAUCCAACCAUUUGCAAAAGCAAUAGCCAAGAUCACAAAUGGUGUUGACAUUCCAAAUAUGAUUAUAUAGGGAAGAGGUGUCAUCAUAGGGUUCUCCCCUGCUCUUUCUCCUGCUGUUUGCCAAUACCUAAAACCAGGCAAUCCCUUUUCACUUAUUUGUUUUCAAUAAACUAAAGUAAUUCAGAAAAACUUAAUCUUCUUGUCAAAUAUCCUAUGUGUUCUUGACAAAAUAAUCAAAAUCAAGAAAAGCAAAACAACUGAUAAUAAGAACAAGACAGAAAUCAAUCACUAUAUGGAAAACUUACUGUUCAGGUUCUUGUUCUUUAGUGAUGAAUUUCUUCUUGUCUUUCUUGACAUCACCUUCUCCUCCCCCUAUCAAGAAUCACCAAAACCAUCUUCUCAUAUGGAAAAACAGUAAUAUCAUAAUAAACUGGGUAUAUAUUGACUUGGUGAACUUAAA
rnacentral:lncRNA from 1 species